GCCUGGUCGUGGACCGAGACGCAGGGGCGUUGAUCCCGGAAUACACUCCAGGUAGAUAUAACAGCCGUAUGACGGUUGGUAGAAGUAUACCCUAUGACCCUUUCAUAUUCGUAUUCCCCCUCACCUCCGAGCGAGUGUCAGAAACUGGACUCUUAUCAAGCAGGACCUUUGCUUAGCAGACGAAGAUAUUAUAACUACAUAAUAAACCGCAAGUAUAACAUACCAUGUCUAUCAUAUGGUCCUUCACACUUCCCCAUUUCACCCACAUUAUCAGAUAUAUCACAAAAAAUAAAUAUUAAAAAAAAAAAAGACCAGUAUAUGUACAAAUAUCGAAAAUAACACAAGUGGAAAACAAAAUACCUCUGCAGACUGUUCAAUAUUUGUGUAUCGUUCCAGUCACGGUAUUGUGCAUUUUUUUGUUAUUGAACUGGAAAAGUUCGUCUAGAAUGUGGCCGGAGGAAUGGCAGAAGCAGUUUAAUGUAGAUAACUGUGAAGUUUAUUUUAUAAACUUUUAUAAAAUUUACAAAAUAAACAAUCAAACUGAAUGCGAAAAUGAAUAAGGAAUUCUGGCUAGCAGUAUGGUAUACAGAGCUCUGUGGCCCGCUCCAUGGUUGCAGAUCGACAGGACGACACUGUCUAGUCUGUGACUUAAUGUAUUAAGUUAAAUGAUGGUCUAUCUGAUGGCCUAUUUGUCUACACAAAUCUUAGCUUUACCACUGUACAUGUUAUUACAGCUGUUACUAUCCGUAUACUACCUACUUCAGCAGACUCUUAAAUCAGCGGGCAUAAUAACAUCUUUGAAUUUAAGAGACGUUGUAUAGUGUAUUUAGGCUGGAAUAUAACCCUACCUAUCACCCAGGAGUAAAGUACUUUUAACAAACUUAGUUAACCUAUUUCUUAAAGAACAACUUUUGUGAAAAAAGUAUUUCACAAUCUUUAAUGUUCAUUAAUAAUUAAAUUGUAAUUGAACAGACAGUUAUUGCCUCAUAAUUAGAGUAAUUAUCUACUUAAUCCUAUUAAUGUAAGGUUAUAUUUACAUCAGGAAUGGAUGAAUUUAAUCAUGUUUUGCACCGAAAAUAUUUCCAUAUUUUACCAUAAAAGCGAAGUGAUGUAACUAUUGUCCAAAAAUGUUAAUUCAUUAUAAUGUAAUUUACAUUUAAGUUCACACUACACUUGAAUUUUACAGUAGAAUGUUCAUAAUUAUUUAGUUUCAGUUUCCCAAAGGGAAGCAAAUUCUCAAUGAGCCUAGCAGCAAAAUUUUAAUAAUUAUAGCCAAGGGUAACUAGUGAGAAGCGACAGCGUCGAUACACUUUAUUGAGAAGAAUACUUUGUAUAAGCAAAAUUGUUGUAAGUCGGAUGUUGAUUCCGACUCAUUAAUAUGAUUUAAAUAUACUGACAGGGCUUUCUUCGCUAUCCAACAAUUGAAUUAUGACUGGGCAAUUAUCAGGAGAAGAGGGAAGACCGGUAAUAAUUUGUGGAUAUCCCAAAAUUGAGGCAAUUCACUGAAGCAACUACCACCUGGAGUUCAUCAAGAGUCAUUUUGGAUAUAUCACGACUUCAUGUACAAUUGACUUCAACUUCCAGGAAAGUAUCCCUCUUUAUUCAUUGUGUUUCCACUGAAGGAAGAUUUACAAAAGAUAGGUAAGGAGGGCGGAUCCUGGUAGGGGGUGUCUUAGGUACAGCUACACAAACAAUAAUCAUACAUAGUUUAACAUAUGAUACAAUAAUCUCACAGUAAACGGGUUAUAUCACAAUGUGCAGAACAGCCACUGUGAAAAAAAAUAGUGAACUUCCAAGCGCUUUCGUGAGAAAUCACGCAAACACUUGCAAGUUCACUAUUUUUUUCACAGUGGUUAUUCUGCAUAGUUUAACAUAUGUGUAAAUUACCCAGGAUAACCCCCAAAACAGUCAAAGUGACUUAUUUACAUUGGUGAGCAUAUUAUUAUUAUUAUAAUCAAGGGGGAAGCGCUAAACCCGGAGGAUUAUACAGCGCCUGGGGGGGGAUGUGGAAGGCAUUCAGGCUUAAUUCGGGGAACUGGAGCACAGAUCCAAUUCCCUAAAUCAAGAGCCCCUCACCAACAUCAAGGAACCUUCCUUGAGGGGUUCGGUGAGCAUAGAGACAAAUUAUAAUGCAGUCUGUCUUUGUAACCUGUGUAUACACAUUCUUUGUAACCAUUAUGGUAGUAUUGGUAGAUGUUAUUUAUCAUAAUUAAGACUCAGUGAUCCAAGAUCCUACUAAACACCAGUGAUAUUAAAAUUAUUAUUUUUCCUUUGAUUUACACCUCAAGCUCACAUGUGCAACCUUGAUGUUAUCUGUACAUCUGAGGGGUUUCACUCGUUUAAUUACCAUUCCAACGGCGUUAUGGGGAAUGUGUCAAGGAUAUGGCAGUGGAAGGAUAUAGUCGAGUAUGGAUUGGCUAUAUGCAAGUUCCUUAGGGACAAAAUAAUCAUAUCACAUUUCUGCCAGUUAAAAUAAUCUUGACCAUGAUGGAUCAGCUGAGAGCAUCAUCGGUUGUGUUUUGGGACCUGAGACUCACCCAGCGUCUACCGGAUACCCUCUACCACAUAAUGAGGACCUGGUAAUGCUCUGUCCCACGCACGCACUGACGCACGCACCCUCCCUCCCACGCACCCCACUACACACUUUUCUGAGAUAAAUGCAGAUGAUUUUGCAGCUCCUGGUCCCAGGAAUGGCAGUAGCUCAGGAAAACACACUCGCGUGUAAUUAAAAGGAUUCAAAGAUGUGAAGUUUUCCCAUUGUCUUAUAAGCAAGAACACAAAUGGAGUAGCGCGUCAAUGCACCUACUGGCUCAUGCUAGGCUGGUGGCUCAUGCUAAGAUGCUCCUUUUCCCCCCCUACUUAAUUAACCAUUCUCACUCUUAUAUUUAACAAUUAUUACUAAACCAGUACUUUUCUACAUCCUCUCUAAAUCUGUCUUCCACCUAGAUGUUGAAUCUUGCCGAACACCAAUUGUGAGUUUACUUUUAGUUUAAUAUCUUCAUUAUGUACACCAUACCCAUCCUGUGGGCGGUAGUCAAAGGAUUAGAGGUACAUAAUGGGUCCACGGACUGGACACCAAUUGUGACUGAUACUCUUUCUGAUUUCACCUCUGUUGACGGCUAACAGUAAUCUCUAUUUACCUAUAAAGUGUUAUUAUUUAAGCUACGUAGUUAAAUCUAACUAAACCAUCAAUGCAAUAGGAACAAACAUUUUAAAUAAAUCGUAUCCAACCAUUUUUUUUAUAUAACGUCUUAAGAACUUUUAUGAAAACAUUUCUCUUACUCGAGUAUCAAUAGCCAUACAAACUCUUCGUAUCAUCGAUCUAUCCAGUCAGUGCAAAAGAGGGGGGCUUGGGGAAGGGUAGAAAAUAACGUACGGCAGAUUUAUCUUACAGUAAAUGACACACACUGUUUGCCACUCAACAGUCUGUCAAUGACAGAAGUAAAGCCCUUUUAUAUACUUCAGGAUUAUUAUGGAAGGAAACUUUUCGCCCCGAGUAGAUUCUUCAUUAGGAUUCGUGGCAAAAUGUUUCCAUUAGAAAAACGUCUUGGAUCGUAUAUAAGUAUCUUUAUCCACAGGCUGUCAGUAUUACCAUGUCAUUUGUACCUUCAGUUUCUUUAAGAAAUAUAAGAACAUAAGAAAGAACAACGCAACAGGUCUACUGGCCUAUGCGAGGCAGGUCCAAUUCUCCCACCGGCUUAAGCCAAUGCCCUGACCUAAAGGUCAGACACGUCACUUAAGGAAGGAGCAAGACAUCAGACCUAUUAGCACAAACUAGUCAGGUCCAACUCACACCCACCCACACCCACUCAUGUAUUUAUCUAACCUAUUUUUAAAACUACACAACGUUUUAGCCUCUAUAACUGUGCUCGGGAGUUUGUUCCACUCAUUCACAACUUUAUUACCAAACCAGUGCUUUCCUAUAUCGUUCCUGAAUCCGAAUUUUUCCGAUUUAAAGCCAUUGCUGCGAGUCCUGUCUAUGUUAGAUAUUUUAAGCGCGCUGUUUACAUCCCCUUUACUAAUUCCAGUUUUCCAUUUAUAAACCUCAAUCAUAUCGCCCCUAAUUCUACGCCUUUCUAGAGAGUGCAGAUUCAGGGCCCUCAGUCUAUUCUAAUAGGGAAGAUUUCUGAUGUGACGAAUGGUUUUGAAAACCGACAAGUUGAAGAAUUGAGACACUUAUG